rnacentral:rRNA from 1 species
CCCAGAUCAGCAGCUAAGGUGCCUAAAUUGUGCUCAGUGGAAAGGAGGUGAGGUUUCAUAGACAGUGAGGAUGUUGGCUUAGAAGCAGCCACCAUUUAAAAAAUGCGUAAUAGCUUACUCAUCGAGAGACCUUGCGCCGAAAAUACUUGGCGAUAAGCACAAUACCGAAGCUCUGGGUGUCCUAGUUUACUAGGGCGCGGUAGAGGAGCAUUCUCUGUGCAGUGAAGGGUGAUGGCGACUGACCCUGGAGCGCAGAGAAGUGAGAAUGCAGACAUGAGUAACGAUAAGAGCGGUGAAAUCCCGCUCCGCCGUAAAUCCAAGGUUUCCCGGGCAACGUUUUUCGUCCCGGGGUUAGUCGGGACCUAACCCGAGGCCGAUGGGCGUAGGGGAUGGUAAGCAGGUUAAUAUUCCUGCACCCAGUAAGGAGGACGCAUAAUGAAAAGCUACUAGGUUAUUGAAUUCCGAGGCGAGGCUUAGGCCGGACCGUAUAGCUGGACAGAGUGCCAAGAAAAGCCCUUACAUUAAUGGCCCGUACCGUAAACCGACACAGGUGGAUGGGUAGAAUAUACCAAGGCGCAAGAGUGAAACCUGGUCAAGGAACUCGGCAAAAUAGCCCCGUAACUUCGGAAGAAGGGGUGCCCCCUCUGGGGGGCCGCAGUGAAAUGGCCCAACCGACUGUUUAGCAAAAACACAGCAUUGUGCUAAGGCGUAAGCCGACGUAUACGAUGUGACACGUGACCAAUGCCAAAAGAUUACGGUAAGAUGUUAGCACUUUAGUGCGAAGCUUCGAGCCCAAGUCCUGGUGAAUGUCGGCCGUAACUAUAACGGUCCUAAGGUAGCGAAAUUCCUUGUCGGGUAAGUUCCGACCUGCACGAAUCGUGCAACGAGUUGGGCGCUGUCUCGACCAGGUGCUCAGUGAAAUUGUAGUUCCGGUGAAGAUGCCGGACACCCGCAGAAGGACGGAAAGACCCUAUAGACCUUAACUGUAAGCUGUUAUUGGUUGUUCGAUCUUAAUGCUCAGCAUAAGUGGGAGACAUUGAAGGGUGCGUUUAGGCGCAUCUGGAGUCAUCAGUGAGAUACCACCCUUUAAUAUUGGAUAAUCUAACCCCGAGCCGUCAUCCGGCCGUGGGGACAAUGGCAGCCGGUCAGUUUUACUGGGGCGGUAUCCUCCUAAAGAGUAACGGAGGAGCGCGAAGGUGGGCUCAGCACAGUUGGCAACUGUGUGUUGAGUGUAAAGGCACAAGCCCGCCUAACUGUGAGACCUACAAGUCGAGCAGAUACGAAAGUAGGCCUUAGUGAUCCGGCGGUAGAAUGUGGAAUUGCCGUCGCUCAACGGAUAAAAGGUACCUUAGGGAUAACAGGCUUAUCACGCCCAAGAGUUCAUAUCGACGGCGUGGUUUGGCACCUCGAUGUCGGCUCGUCGCAUCCUGGGGCUGGAGAAGGUCCCAAGGGUCCGGCUGUUCGCCGGUUAAAGCGGCACGCGAGCUGGGUUCAGAACGUCGCGAGACAGUUCGGUCCUCUAUCCUCUGUGGGCGUAGGAAAAUUGAAGGGUUCAGACCUUAGUACGAGAGGACCGGGUUUGACGCACCUCUGGUGUUCCAGUUGUUCUGUCAAGGGCACUGCUGGGUAGCUAAGUGCGGAACGGAUAAGCGCUGAAAGCAUCUAAGCGCCAAGCCAUUCCUGAGAUAAAUUUUCCCUGAAGGAUCGUGGAAGACGACCACGUUGAUAGGCUGGGGGUAGAAGUGCAGCAAUGUAUGUAGCUCACCAGUACUAAUCAUCCGUUCGACUUAAUUCC